rnacentral:misc_RNA from 1 species
GUGGGAGGGAGGGAGGGAGUGUGAAGCAAUAACGUAUCCCAAUUCAUAGCAUUCAUUUAAAGGACCUGAAACAUUACCUAGUCUUUGUGGGCACGCCUAGCAUAAGAAAAUGCCGAAAUUGCUGAAUUGCUCGCGCUCAUCGACCGUUUCACAAGACGAAAACUUUUUCGUGCUGCUAGCCAAACCAAACAGAAGAACCCAAUCCAACCUGCAGCAAUCACAACUGCUACAAUUGCUGAGAUUGUUGCAGUAGAUAUAACAAACAAAGCAACUCCUAAUGCUCCAAUGUAUAUAGCUGUUACGCAAGCAAAGAAAAGGGCCA